AAAGGCACUCCCACCAGUGCUAUGACAGUUUACAAAUGCCAUGGCAAUGUCAGGAAGUUACCCUACAUAGUUUAAAAAACGGAGGGACCCUCCAUUCUGGGAAAUCUUUACUCCCUUCCUGAGAAAACUCAUCAAUAAUUCAUCCCUCUAUUAGCAUAUAAUCAAGAAAUAACUAUAGUUAUACUAAUCAAGCAGCCGAUACCACUGCUCUGCCUAUGGAGUAGCCAUUCUUUUAUUUUUUUUUUUACUUUCAUAAUAAACUUGCUUUCACUUUGCACUGUGAAAUUGAACUGAAUUCUUUCUUGUGAGAGACCUGAGAACCUUCUCUGGGGGUCUGGAUUGGGGCCCCUUUCCUGUACCAGUCUGAUGCUGGAGCUCAAAUUCCAUAGAUCAGACAAUCAGGAUGGGAAAAUGGAUGUGAAGUAAGACACAGCAAGCAAACACUGGAACCCACAAAUACAAGCCUCUGAACUUGGUAGAAAGGGUGUCUAAAGGAACCUGGGACAUUUAUUCAAUGCACACACUUGCCCAGAAGUCAGAAAAACUGAAUGUUUGCAGAGAAAUGUGGAACAGUUGCAGGCCUGGCUGCCGCCUCACAACAAUAAAGUGAACAAGCAAAUAAGCAACAGUGUGUGAGAGUAAAAAUGACUGUGGCUGUACUUCUGCCCUCCAGAUAAUCCCAGAAGAAUCUCAUGUGGCCAUCCUAACCAGAAACAUACGAGAAAGAGAAUUCUGGGAACUGUAGUUUAAUCCAAAGUGAUGUAAUGCAAAGUGACCACGAUCAGCAUCUUUUCCAUUUGGCAUACAUCCACAUUUCAUGAAAAAACACUUAACCUCCAAAUAAAGGAAUCCCAGUUUGAUGGCAGCACUCCCAUGGUAAGAUCUGGUCUGCAGAGAAGAAUCAUCCCAGAACUCUUUAUCAAAGCCAUGUGGAAGAGAGUAUCCUCUGGACCACCCUGAGAUGGUAAGCAGAUCUUACAUGAUAAAUCCACUCUAGCAUUCCAAUAUUCAUAAGCCUUUGAAUUCCUUGUUCUUCUGUGUAUGAAGAUGAUUUGGGUAUUUUCAUGUUAUUUAGUUUGGGCUGCAUUUAGAUCUAUGUAUAAGUCAAGCAGCCAAGCAAGGGGUUAGAGCAAUUUCUAGCUGCUCUCAAGCUAAGCCAUCAUAUUUGGAAUUUUUACUAAGUGGGCUCAUAUAAUUA
rnacentral:lncRNA from 1 species